rnacentral:ribozyme from 16 species
UGUACCUUUCUUAGGGGGGAGGUCAGACAAUAUUCUUUUUUUUUCUUUCUUUUUUUUCACGUUCAAAAUGGGGUUGUCUCUCUAGAAAGAACUGGGUAGGAAACCAUCAUCCUGUUCUUCAUGAUACUUCAGGUUAAAUACCCACCUUGCGUAAAAAUAAAAGUCCUAAGGGGUGUGUAAUGCAGAACUUGUGGUUCUGCAACGCCUUACAAGGCAAAUAAUGAACGACCAUGAGAAAACAACAGAAUAAACAGGCACACAAAUAUUUGUGCCUUUUUUUUUGUGUUCAGGCGUAAGGUAAUACGCGCUCAAGGUAAAACCUUGGAGAA